GCCGGCACCACCGGCGAGCUCUCGGCCGGCUGCAUGUGGAGGACUAAGCGGGGCUGCGACCCCGUGCACAACUGGCAUGGGUGCAGGAGCUUCCGGCGGGGCAAGGCGGGGCGUAUAGUUCUGGGCGGAGCCAUGAGAGAAAAGCUGCAAAUCUUUCCACCUGCUCCCCCAACUCCAGGGCUGAGAACACGCCCAACCUGAGAUCCACCGAGGAUAACCUUCUGGUUGCUGCUUGUCCACACCAGGGAAGCCUUGGCCAGGAAUCCGUAGGGCGGAGUCCACUCCCACCCUGGAGUCCAUCCCCGGGCCCACCUCCCCACUCUGGGUCUCCCUUCCUUGAAUCUCCCCAUUCUAGGUCUCUAGAUCCUGGGUCUUCCUGCCCUGGGGCCCCUCCCCAGCCUGGAUUCCCCUGGGCACCCAUGCUCUGGCACUCCCCAUCCUGGGUCUCCCUGCACUGAGACCACCUGCCAUGGGUCCCCUGCCCUGGUUACCCUACCCCCGGUCUCCCCAUCCUUGGUGUCCCUACCCUGGACCCCCUCCCCGCCUGGGUUCCCCACCAGCGCCCUGGUUAUCCACAUUCUGGGUCUCCUGUUCCUGGGUCCCUCUGCCCUAGUCCAUCCCUGGAUCUCACCCUGAGGUACCUAUGUGCCCUAAUUGCUACCCACUGGCAUGGCCCUGCCUCUGGCUUCUUCCCCUCACACUCAUAUGGGCUGCAGCUCCAUGCUUUGAAUCCCUCAUCCCUGUCCACUUGGUGUCCUGAGACGUGGACACUUGGCAUGAGAGCCACCAUGGGUGCCAUUCCCAGCAGGGCAGCCUCCUGCAACCUCAGAAUGGUGGGAAGUGAGCACAGCAGGCAUGAGGAAGGCCUGGCUCUCCCACUUUCCCCAAAGGCAGCGCACAUAGGAGCUCCCUCUGUGACCAGGUGGGCGUGAGGUCUUGGGCCUUAGCAGACGACCUGAGUGGAGGGAAUGUUCUGGAACGAACGCUGAGGCCAACAGGAGCUGGAGAGCCGUGUGUGGAACUGGACCUGCCCUUGGGGACUGCUGUGCAUUUCCAGCUUUCCCCACACCCAGGAGACGGCAGGCAGCUGAGACACUGGUCCCCAGGGUCCAGAUGCUGGCUCUGAAGACUCAACAUGGCUGGCCCACCUGGCAGCCCUUUGCUUUUGAAAGACAGUGUCCCUUCUUCUCUUGCACUGCAACCUGCCUGUGCCCUGGGACCCUCCUGGGUGGCCUUGCCUGGACCCGGCUGCCGGGUGCUGAUGGGUGGCCUUUGUCUGGUCUUGACCUCAUGCUUGAUUGCUCUCUCCUUUCUCCUCAAGCCCCAGAGGAAAAAGAGAGAGAAGUCUUUUGCCCCCAGGGCCUGACAGCACUGUUACCAGCUCCUGUGUCCUGUCCUGUGGCCUGCUCUUCUGCCAAUUGCAGUGCCCAGCCGGGCCUUCCUGCCUGGCAGAGCCCACUCCUGGCCAGGUGCCCUUAAGGCCCCUUUGUGAGGAGCCUUCAGAUCCCACCUCAGCCUUGCAGCCUUGUAGAGCAGCCAGAAAGCAUAGGCACUGGCCCUGCAUGUUUGCACCUGAGUGUGGAGGGCAUCCUGUUUCUCAGGGUUAGCGCCCACAUAAGGGCCCUGUGGUCCUGUGGAACAGAGAGUUGCCCUCCAGGAAGAGUGGAGGGAGGGGUAAAGAUGUCCUCUAGGAAUGAGGGCACAGCUCUGCCCUUUCCCUCCAGGUCCAUCCCUGUACCCCAGGAUGAAGCAUGGUGGGCCAUGUCCUAGACCAGCCUCUUUCCUGUUGCCUCUUUAAGCCAAGGGCCCUGGCAUCUGGCCCCUUUCUGCAGUAUUUUCUGCAGUGUUGUCCAGGGCAGUGGUGCUCUCCCCCUGGAGUACUUAGCCAGCCCAGCCACCUGCAGGCCCCAGGGGUUUCGAGCGUAAGCAGGAAAACAGGCAUCUUUGUGCAGGCUCAGACUAGUGCCGGUCACCUGUAGGCUCCUGGCUGUCCCUGAGAAGGUCCAGGCAAGGCCCCAAUGACAGGCAAGACCUGGAAAGAAUGAGUGGACCUUAGUUGGAGGGAUCACAGCCGCAGCAGCUGGGUCUGCCUGUCUGUCAUCAAUCUAGCCACUGAGGCGGUCAGCCAUAUACCAUAGGCUCCUGCUGUCCCUCGAAGGACAGAGCCUGCCCUGGGGCUCCUGGCCACUGGACUCUCAGCUGGGCUGCACACUUGCUACCAACUCCUGGGGGUACUGCAGAGCCAUACCUCACACCCAGAGGGCUGCAGAUCACUACAGGGUCCACAGGGCUUGCCAUGGCCUGGGAUUCCACAUUGCUGACCAAUGCUAGCCCAGCUGCCAGUCCCUAGACUUCCAAUGUGCACAACCUCCAGAGCUGUGCAACCACGAAAACCUAAUUGGUUUCCAUCAGUGGCUGGAGUCAGAUAGGGAGGCCACUGCUGUUGAAGAUUAGAGGUUAGAGGGGCUUCAAAAACAUGACAACAGGGGCCAGAUAGGCCCAGAGGCACUUUUGACCCCCACCAGCCACAGAGACUUAGGGAUGGGAAGUGUGCAUUGUCAUUACCAUGAAUGGAAACUGAUGCUGUUGGACUUGGCCCAAGCCCUGCAGGCUGGAGAAUAGGGUGAAUAAAGAAAGACAUGGUGGGGGCUGGGGAUUUAGCUCAGCAGUCAUAAGCGCCUGCCUUGCAAGCAGGCAGUCGUGAGUUCGAUCCCUGGUACCAAUAAAAACGAAAAAAACACGGUGCAAAUACGUGGGAUUUCCUUCUAUCUUCUGUUUGAAGGCAAAGGUUGUUUUCACAGUUUUGCUUUGUUCUGAUUAAUUGUUAAUUAAUUCUUUCUUGAUUGGUUUUAUAAUGUUGUUCUUGGUUUAAUUUCAUCAUACCUGAUUGAAUAGACAAUUAUUGUGAAGAUAACGAGAUAUACUAUGGUACCGAUUACUGUUAUCCCGGUAUCCCGCACUGAAGUUCUGUACCAAUUUCAUUGCAUUGUCUCGACUGGCUUUGUUCUGUUGUAUCUUACUAACUUCAAAAUUAAAAAGAAGAAAAAAAAGCCCCCUCUUGGCAUCCAGAGCAGGGCUCACUGCCCACGGCCCCACCCAGGACAGUGUUACGCACUUGGGCAAGACUGGUGGUACCUACUGGUCCCUGUGCCUUUUGCUUCAUAGAGCCAGCACCUGUGCCCGCAGAGCCUGGGGCAAGAUACUUGACCUUUCUCACCUGGCCAAGGUCCCUCUCCUCCCCUGCGUGCCUGGCCUUCCCUGCCUCAGCGUCUGCUCUGGACAAAAUGACUACUCUCCGUCCCCCUUAGCUGGCACUCCUGGUGGUGGGGUUCUCAUCCAUCUCUACCAUCCCUUCCUUGAGAAUAAGACCUAACUGAAAAAUAAGCCCUAGCAUGAUUUUAGGGUGCUUGUAAUGUAAGCCCACCCCUGAGUAAGUCCUAGUUAAGUUCCAGAUGGAGGCAUGUUAGCACAUUUGCUGAGCAUAUGACAGACAUAUUAAAUUAGAAAAGAAUGACAUUAAUAUAGAAUUAAAUAUAAAUAAUAGUAUUGACAGUAAUAUUUAAAUAAAUGAUGAUCUGACAUAAUUAAGUUCUGUAUUUAUAAAUAGCCAAGCAGGUGCCUUUGGAUGAGAGGUAAACACCUGUGUAAAUAGAUGAACCUGAAACUCACUGUCAAAUGACCAGAGGACAGACACGACCAUGAGUGGCAGUGAGCAGGUCCAGCUGGGUCUAGAGCGAAUCUUCAUGGCUCAGCACCCUGUGUUGUAACAAUAUAUAGUGCAUGCAUGUGAAACACAGGGAUGUUCUCUGAAUUUUGCUGCCUGUUUUCCAUCAUCUUGUGUGGCCAUCAUUGUUAAGUGUCAUCAUUUGGCUGGCACUUCUGUCCUGCAUGUCUCAAGUUAGCACUUGAUCUCAUGGAACUUUGUGAAGCCUGCCUGCACAAAAUCGUGACCUGGCUGCAGAAGCUAUGGGACAAAAUCACUGCCACCGCAUUGUCAGUGUGCUGUGUGCCGACUACACGGGCAGGAAGUGCUCCUGUAAGGGAGCUCUGUGGUGGGACUUGAGAGAUUGGAGCCAGUGGAUCUACAGAAAAUGGAGUCACCAGAAAUUCAGGCUGGAAUUCGGGGUUUGGUGAGUUCUGGUGUUCCAGAAAAAGAUGACAGGACUAUUUGAAUACAUGUAGAUUAUCAUACAUUAAAAAGUAAGAUGUCCCCUGAAAAUAAAUUGUGUUGCAUCUUUUGAAGUAAAAA